UAUGAAAUGUUAAAAAUCCAUAUUCAAUGAGGGGUCAAGGGAGAUAUUUAACCUUUCUUGGACUGUACAUGUAUGAAAACUUGAGUUAGAUGGUUACAAGCUUUAAAGAAGGCUGACCCAUUUUGCUGUUUAAAAUAUUCUGAGACUUCCAUGGAGACAUAUCUGAUGCCACCUAUAUAUAAUGACCUAGAUUUUAAAAACAGUUGGGAAGCAGACGUCUGGAAAUCUGCUGUGAAUUUUAACAUUUUCCAUGCAAAGAUGGAGUGUAAACUGGCAGUUUCAUUUCACUUAUGAAGGACAAAAUGCAUUUAGGGCUUCCCAGUUAUAUAAUUAGGAAUGUCAUGUUUGGAAGAUGACUGUGAAGUGACAACAGAGCCAUCCUUUCCCUGCCAGAUUCCUGUCCUAAAGGAUGCUCAGCCUUCGGCGACGACUUCGCUCUGAUGGCUGCAGACUGUAAUGUUUCACUGGAAGCACAGCUGGCUGUUUGGGGUGGCUGACACACAGAGCUGCACCUGCUAGAAUAGAUGCUAAGAAAAGAGAUGUGUUCUGAGAGAUACAAAGGCAUUGUCUGACCCGUGACAGAUUGUAUGGGCAAAAGAGUUUGUUAAGACCAUCCUGUGUGACCUCCUGCGUUGACCAUCUGCUGACUCCUGGUUGGGUGACAGAAAACCUUUCAAGAUGCUACCAAACCUGUAGAAAUUACUCUGAUUUUAUGGUAUUUGUUAUGGCUGGGACCGCACAGCGAGCACUGCCAGCCUCUGCACCAAGUGGAAUUAAUUGCAGGAUGGAGGCCCACUGCGGAACAGAUAAGAGGGAUCUAGAAAAAUGACGGAGGCCAGACAGCAUGAGAUAAAUGGUGGUGAGAAAGCCUGCAUUAAUAGCAGUAAUGUAGCUGUGUUUCCUGAAAUGACAGCAAGAAAUUCCCUAGUGUGGACACACUUCUUGUUGGCCAAAACAUUCUGAAUUCCUCAAUAAUCAGGCAGGAAGUGGUAAAAUCCAUCAUACAAAAUGAACAAGAUAUUAUUUUUUCCAACAUUAAAAACACAUUUUAGGUCAUACCUAUCAUAGAAAAAAAAAACAUUUUAUGGCAAAUCAGAUUUUUUUUCUGCCACACUUAAUUUUUCAGUGAUGUACAACAAGUGGAAUUUCUGUACACAAAGAUGUGUUUUAGGAGCUUUGCUUCCAUCCAAAUCAGUACCUUACCUAAUAGGUGCAAUAUUCAAAAGUACUCACUGCUCUUUCAAAAAUUUGCUCAAAUAAAAAUUAUGUUUUAGUAGCUUCCCUGUCAAGUAACCAGACAGAAAAGCAGAAUUAUAACAGCCAUCAGUUUUGUGCUUUGUGUAAACAGCUGGAGUUAGGUAAUUUCUGGUUUAUUUUUGUCACUUUGUGUGAUUUUGUCCAGUUUGCACUAUAACUGAAGUCAGUGUUGACUCUGUACCACAACAGGUCUACAGGCUUGUACCUACCUUGCCUUGGUUGGCUGUUCUGAGAGCCUCCUACCAAGAUUUCCUGUUGCCUCCAUUUUAGAGCAGUUCUGUCUUUUCUCCAGUGAGUGGAAGUUAGUAAGACCCAGCAGAUGCUGCUGCCUGAGUUCAGUCAGCAGAGUAACACUGUGAUUCCUUCCAGCUUCUUUGCUUGUACAUCAAGAGGAAGGAGGAUGCUAACUUUAUAACUUCUCCCCAUUGUGACCCAGAGGUUAGGCACCUUGCCAUAUACAGAUGUUAUCAAAAAUGGAAUCAUUUUAUAAAUAAACUGUGAAAUAACAACGGUCUACAUAAAUGUAUGCUUUGGUUCAAGACCGAUGUAUUCCAUUCUUUGAGAACAUUCUCUAAAUAAACUGAAUGUUUUCAUUUUAUACUUUGUUAUGAUUUAUCACAUUGUGGUUUAUUUAAGGCUUUCAAUGUUCUCUGUUCCAUUUGCUGAACUUUAGAUAUGGAAUUAAAAUACGCUUGACUUCACAGUCUUCCUUUAUAUUCAAAGAAGAAGCCGUGUAGCUAUCACAAUGGAUUAAGACACACUACACGAAAACCCUGUCACUUUUGCAACUCCAUUUAUGCAAGAAGACAACAGUAGUUAACGGAUCCAUCUAAGACAUUGAAUUGAAUGGACAAUUUUUUCAUAGCUGUGGUAAUUAUGAACACUCUGAAAAAGGCUGCUUUGCCAGUUGUAGCCCAAGAAAAUUGAAUACUGUUCUCUUGCAAAAAAAUGCUCUGCAAGUAUUCAGCCAUCUUAUUCCAUUACAUGCCAUUACAAAAAACAGUGACUUGUUUAUUCAUUGGAAGUUCAUGAACAUACACUACAUCUUUUGACAGUCCAUAAACACUGCUUUAGCCUUCUUUCUCUCAGAGGCACAGGCUCAAGCUAAGAACCUUUCUAAAGGAUUACUUCUCCAUGCAUCCAUGACGGACAGACCAUAGCACUAAUAGAAUCAUGACCCCAAAACUAAGUGAACUGCAUUCUUUCAUACAGAUUCCAACAGCCAGCUGUGCUGUCUGGACUCAGGCA